rnacentral:lncRNA from 1 species
GUCCUUCUUACUCUUCUUCUUUUCCUUCUUGAUCAACUGAGGAGCUGCUGGAGGAGUCUCGUCACUUUCACUCUCACUCUCUCGCUUCCGCUGAGAUGAAAGCAAUUGGUUAAGUGUUAGAUCUUGGGCAAUAAUGGACAAGAAAGGUUCAGUGAGUCAAAAGGUAGCAAGGCACCAAGAAAGAUCCCAACUGAAUCUAACAGGACGUUUUCUGACUACAAACCCGGACAGGGCCUUAGUUUACUGAGGAUUUGAAGACAGUCUCAUCCCCCAAAUCCAAGAAGCCUUGAGGCAGGCACAAGAGAAGGAGCACAGCAGCAGCACGGGGCUUGGGGUGGAAAGGCCCGGAGGAGCUGUUUCUCUCAUGACUGCAAGGACCUCUCACAGAAAGCAGGCAAAGCAGGAAUUCACAUCUGACAAGUCAGAAGCUCCUCCCACACAGCCUGUGCAGGAUACUCAGUACCGCCCCCGGUUUCUGAGUGCAGACCUGUCAUUCUGUGCUCUAAUGCCAGCAGCUCCAUGGGGUGGAGUUGCCAACCCAUGCUUGACUGACUCUUUCAACACUGGGUGGUGCCAGGUUAAGAUGCAAUUCUGCUCUCUGCUGAAUUUUGUAUGGCCUCGAAUGUCCAACAGCCAUGGCCUCUGAUUUCAACACAUCUGUCCUACCAUUUGACCCAGGGCGGGGGCCAGAAUUGACACACACACCACCACCCAUUCCAUCACUGUGUUGCUGCCAUAGCUGAGGUAGGAGUCGAGGCCCAUCUGAUUCCUGAGCCCACAUUCCUCCUCCCAGCAGAUAGGACAGAGAAUACAAAUCAGAGGAGCCUGCAGAGCCCAAACAAGCACCCCAGGGUAUGAGGCAGCAUUACCUGUGUAUGCGCUGCACCUCUGAUGCUAGCGUAUAUGGCUGGACUGCGGACAGUCACAAAGUAAGACGAAUGCCAGUGCCUCUUAGGAUUAUCUCCCUAAGCACAUUCCAAACUGAGGACAGCAUGCCACUCACCUU